rnacentral:lncRNA from 1 species
GCCUGAUCUUUAUCGCCUUAAGUUUACAAAUUUUAGUUCCUAAUGAGCGAUUUUAGGCAUUGUAAUUCAUGAUGGAGUGGUGCCAGGUCGGGUUGCCGCUUUUUAUGUGGUUUUUUCGUUGGAAUUUAUUUGCUUCUGUUGCUGUUGCUGUUGCUGUUGCAGUUUUUUUGUUGUUUCUUUCAGUCAUGCCGCCCCAUAAGUCCAGCACGUUGACGUGCUUUUGGUGGGUGUGGUUCCU